rnacentral:rRNA from 1 species
CAGUAGCCGCGGGAAUACGUAGGGUGCAAGCGUUAAUCGGAAUUACUGGGCGUAAAGCGUGCGCAGGCGGUUCGCUAAGACAGAUGUGAAAUCCCCGGGCUUAACCUGGGAACUGCAUUUGUGACUGGCGGGCUAGAGUAUGGCAGAGGGGGGUAGAAUUCCACGUGUAGCAGUGAAAUGCGUAGAGAUGUGGAGGAAUACCGAUGGCGAAGGCAGCCCCCUGGGCCAAUACUGACGCUCAUGCACGAAAGCGUGGGGAGCAAACAGGAUUAGAUACCCCGGUAGUCCCUGUCUCUUAUAU